AGAGUUUGAUCCUGGCUCAGAUUGAACGCUGGCGGCGUGCCUAACACAUGCAAGUCGAGCGGUAACAGGUGUAGCAAUACAUGCUGACGAGCGGCGAACGGGUGAGUAAUGUUUCGGAAUCUGCCCAAUGGUGGGGAAUAACCAGCCGAAAGGUUGGCUAAUACCGCAUAAGUCCUACGGGAGAAAGCGGGGGAUCGUAAGACCUCGCGCCGAUGGAUGAGCCGAAACCGGAUUAGCUAGUUGGUAGGGUAACGGCCUACCAAGGCGACGAUCCGUAGCUGGUCUGAGAGGACGACCAGCCACACUGGGACUGAGACACGGCCCAGACUCUUACGGGAGGCAGCAGUGGGGAAUAUUGGACAAUGGGGGAAACCCUGAUCCAGCGACGCCGCGUGUGUGAAGAAGGCCUGCGGGUUGUAAAGCACUUUUAGUGGGGAUGAAAAGCUCAGGGCUAAUACCGCUGAGUCUUGACCUAACCCAAAGAAAAAGCACCGGCUAACUCUGUGCCAGCAGCCGCGGUAAUACAGAGGGUGCAAGCGUUAAUCGGAAUUACUGGGCGUAAAGCGUGCGUAGACGGUUAUGUAAGUCGGGUGUGAAAGCCCCGGGCUCAACCUGGGAAUUGCAUUCGAGACUGCAUAGCUAGGGUGCGGAAGAGGGAAGCGGAAUUUCCGGUGUAGCGGUGAAAUGCGUAGAUAUCGGAAGGAACACCAGUGGCGAAAGCGGCUUCCUGGUCCAGCACCGACGUUCAGGCACGAAAGCGUGGGGAGCAAACAGGAUUAGAUACCCCCGUAGUCC
rnacentral:rRNA from 1 species